AAGCCUUGAAAUACCACCAGCCUGAGGUGUUUGCAUUUUUUUUCUUUUAAAAAAAUGUAAUGGUGGAGGGAAAUUGUGUAAGAUUUUUAAGCAGAUUAAUAACUUCCCAUGAAAGUUAUAUUUUAACUUUUUUUGAAAAAAAGAUAAUCUGAGAUAAGAAAACCAGGAAUUUAUACCUCCCUAAGCAACAGAUUAGGGCGAGGCAGUGGUGCUGAAAAUCUUGUUUACAUAAAUAAGUAGAUGCAAAUGGAAGUAUUUUUAUGUGACACUGUCACUCAUUUUUUAAACUCCUUCAGAGUUUAUGUACCAAAAAUCAAAUAAUGUUGUCUUUAAAAAUUAUGUUUGUGAUCAUGUGUCAGCUGAUAACUCCAGUAUAGUAUUUUUUAAAUUUUGUUAAAAGCAAAGGAAGGGGAACAACUUGGAAGCAGGUUGGGUUAAUCAGUGGAGUAAUUCCUUUUUAAUACCACACCAGAUUCUUGAAUUGUCCUUUUGGUACCCAGAGCUGUUUUGUACUUUAAGGUGGUCCACAACUGUACUUCUGUGAAGUAGGAGAAAGAUAAAUAGGAAAUGAGAAUUUUUAUGACUGAUGUCUGGUUGAAGGUAUCAUUUCUAGCAGAUCAGAUUUAGGAAGCAGUUUUUUUAAAAUUCUAGUAUAGUUGACAUACAGUAUUAUAUUAGCUUUAGGUGUAAGGAAGCAGUAUGCUUUGAGAAUCUAGAAAGUAUCUCUAUAAAAUUAUCUGUCACUCAUACUGUUUAGAAAAUCUUCAGGCACCCCAGUGAUAUGUGUAUUUUUAAAGACUGCUGCCCUAAGUAGGGCAGUGACUGUCAUGAUGGAGAAAAGUAUUUGGAUUUGAGAGACAUAGGAGGUAGAAUUAACAGGACUUGGGGGAUAUUCUCCUGCUAAUUACUUGCAGUGGGUUUGCAUUUCCAGAAGCAUCAAGAAUGUUAUCAACUCAAAAAAACCACAAAAAACUAACAAAAC